GAUGAAGAACGCAGCGAAAUGCGAUACGUAAUGUGAAUUGCAGAAUUCAGUGAAUCAUCGAGUCUUUGAACGCACAUUGCGCCCCCUGGUAUUCCGGGGGGCAUGCCUGUCCGAGCGUCAUUGCUGCCCUCAAGCACGGCUUGUGUGUUGGGCCUCCGUCCUCCUCCCGGGGGACGGGCCCGAAAGGCAGCGGCGGCACCGCGUCCGGUCCUCGAGCGUAUGGGGCUUCGUCACCCGCUCUUGUAGGCCCGGCCGGCGCUUGCCGACACAUCAAUCUUUUUUCCAGGUUGACCUCGGAUCAGGUAGGGAUACCCGCUGAACUUAAGCAUAUUCAAUAAGCGGAGGA
rnacentral:misc_RNA from 1 species